rnacentral:misc_RNA from 1 species
UCCGAGUUGACCCCGGCAGUCUCCCAUGAGUCCCCACCAUCACGUGCUGGCAACAUGGAACGAGGGUUGCGCUCGUUGCGGGACUUAACCCAACAUCUCACGACACGAGCUGACGACAGCCAUGCACCACCUGCACACAGGCCACAAGGGAACCCGUAUCUCUACGAGCGUCCUGUGCAUGUCAAACCCAGGUAAGGUUCUUCGCGUUGCAUCGAAUUAAUCCACAUGCUCCGCCGCUUGUGCGGGCCCCCGUCAAUUCCUUUGAGUUUCAGCCUUGCGGCCGUACUCCCCAGGCGGGGCACUUACUGCGUUAGCGACGGCACCGGGAGGGUCGCUCCCCCCGACGCCUAGUGCCCAUCGAUUACGGCGUGGACUAC